AUGACCAUAUCACGUUGAAACACCUGUUAUCGUACGAUCAACGAAGUUAAGUAUUAUAGAGCUUGGUCAGUACCUAGUUGGGUGACCGCUUUGGAAUACCAGGUUUUGUAA